GACAGUGUGGUGUAGUGGUUUGAGCAUUGGACUAUAUCUCUGAAGACCAGGGUUCAAAUCCCUGCUUUGGCA
rnacentral:tRNA from 1 species